rnacentral:lncRNA from 1 species
UAACAAAUGGUUUUUAUUAUAUAAAGUGAUCAAACCAGUUUAUAUUUGAUCAUAAAAAAAAAAACCCAUUUUAUAUUUGUUACAUGCAAAGUUGAAGAAAAAAUGGCUCAAACUUUCAAAUUUGCUUAUUUUGUGAUCAUCUUAGUUUCCCUUUUUAUUGUUGUCGUCGUUGGUCAGAGUAAGCUCAAUUUUCAUAUUAUUUUUUGUUUAUUUUAUACACAAUCUUUCACCCAUAUUAGUCAUAUUUUCAUAUUAUUGUACAUUACAGAAGAGUGUGAUACAGAAGCUGAUUGCUAUAAAUUAUACGUGUGUCAUGCUCCUGGAACAAUGAAGUGCUUGCAUGGUGUUUGUGUAAGUCCGGGAGCAGAGUAAGUCUUAUUUCUAUGUUAUUUACCUUCUAGUUUUGUUUGCUUAUCAUAAUGUUUUGAUUCUUUUAAUUUCUCUUAUACUUUCAUAUAUUUCUCCGAUCUUAUAAAAGCAUGUUAAACAUUUU